AGAGUUUGAUCCUGGCUCAGGAUAAACGCUGGCGGCGCACAUAAGACAUGCAAGUCGAACGGACUUAACCUAUUCUUAACGAUUAGGAGCGGUUAGUGGCGGACUGGUGAGUAAUGUAUAAGUAACCUGCCUAUCAGAGGGGAACAACAGUUGGAAACGACUGCUAAUACCGCAUAUGCCACGAGAAUCACAUGGUUCAAGUGGGAAAGGAGCAAUCCGCUGAUAGAUGGACUUAUAUCUGAUUAGCUAGUUGGUGGGGUAACGGCCUACCAAGGCGACGAUCAGUAGCCGGACUGAGAGGUUAAACGGCCACAUUGGGACUGAGAUACGGCCCAGACUCCUACGGGAGGCAGCAGUCGGGAGUAUUGCGCAAUGGAGGAAACUCUGACGCAGUGACGCCGCGUGCAGGAAGAAGGUUUUCGGAUUGUAAACUGCUUUAGACAGGGAAGAAAAAAGACAGUCCUGUAGAAUAAGCUCCGGCUAACUACGUGCCAGCAGCCGCGGU
rnacentral:rRNA from 1 species